GGAUAUGAGGGCAAUUUGGCUGGGACAUCUGUCACCCCAUUGAUUGCUAGGGUUGAUGAGGCUGGUCUGGCUGGCUAGGCGGGUGUUCCCUCCCCGCCCUCCCCGCUCUCACCGAAGCUGCUCGCUGCAUGGAAGAGGACGCCCUUCCUGAUAGAGGAGGGCUGUUCUUCCAGCCAAGGGUAUACGGGUAACUUCAUUCCGCGGCCAGAUCCUCCAAACGAGCUCUCAGGAUCCAUGUGUAGGAGAAUGUCGGAGAGUCAAGCCUCCCAGGCUCCAGACAUAUCUAGAUGAGAUGCUGCAUGUGGCCGUCUGUCUUUAAAA
rfam:Ailuropoda melanoleuca scaffold1429_24, whole genome shotgun sequence.